AUGAUGUACUUAACGUCUAUGCCAAUUUUCAGCUUCAUUAAGCGAUUUGGGAAUUAUCUGAAGGUUGCGAUUUAAUUUCGUCUAUUUUUGGUUGUAACUUUUUUGUCCCAUGGAUUAAAAAAAAAUAACCAUACCUAAUGUUAAAUAAAUUUAUACUCUUUCAUUUGAUAUUAUUUUCAUUCGUGUCCGCGACCGGGUCGGAUUCCGCCCAAUGACCUUUAAUUUUAAAACGUUCAUUUGCUUUGAGAAUGUAUCUGUGCGAGAAAAGGCAUUUCAGUCUCAUUAAUGCAAUAUAUUGUUCUUAUAUUGAAACACUAGAAAGUAAGUAUUAAUGUAAUCUAUCUUUAAUCUUACGUUAUAAUUAUAAUAUGUAAAGUACACAUCUGUCUACCUGACCACAGAUAACGAUUCGGGUGAAAUUAGUUAAUAUGACAGUUAACUUAAAACCCCAAAAAACGAUACAGGGAAUCAUAGAAAUUCCAUGGGAUUAGUGAAUGAAUGCAAGCACUUCACUAUAAGUAAUGAUUCAACAAUAGGUUAUGUGCUAUCAGCUGAUGAUGGUAAGCAUUCGACGCCACCCAUACCCAUGGACACCAGAAACACCAGAGAAGAUAAAAUUGCGUGACAAGCCUUUUUGGGUAAAGAUUCGAGGAUUGGGGAUUACGCAGGGAGAGACUUGGGCCUCCGGUAAACUAAUUCACUCGGCGAAACACAACACAGGCGUUAUUUAGUCUCGUCAGAUUAUUUUUUUUAUUUUAUUUAUUUGAUUAUUUUAUUUUUUUAUUUAUUUAUGUUAGGCCAAAGCAUCACUCCGGUUGAGCCAGCACUUAUACGGCGUUCAGUCGGUUGUUCAAUACUGUUCACAGCUGUAAAAAUACCUUUUCUGAUUGCAAAUCUUUUUUCGUUUGGAACAAAAAAUAUGAUAGUGUUUUAAGUGUCUUCUGAAACAUUUGCUCAUAAAGAGUUAACUGGUUAUGCCAAUUAAGGAAUCGAUUUGGAGAUUACGAAGGGAGAGAAUUGGGCCUGGACAAUACAAGCCUUGUUUCACGUCAGUUUUCUGUUGGGCCAAAGUAUUAGUCUGGUGCGCACUUUGGUCGGCUCAGUCAGGUGUUCAAUACUGUCAAGUAUAAGAAUACCUCAUCUGAUUACUAAUCUAAUACAUAUAUUGUUAUUUUUUAAUACCAGGACGUAAGUACCUAUAUUUAUUAAAGAUAUUACGUUGUCUCUUGAUAUAAUGCUAUCAGCUAACGGUAAGCAAUCGGCGCCAUCCAUAUCCAUGGACACCAAAAACACCAGAGGAAUUAUACAAAUGCGUUACCAUCCUUUUUAACGACUUCAAAAAAAAAGGAGGAAACUACAUUCGCUAUUAAUUUUUUAUUUAUUCACCGAUUGUAGACCGAUUUUCUAACUGUUUUUUAUACAAGGGUUUAUACUCCCAAGAGGAUCCCAUUUUCAGUAUGUCAGAAUCUGAUGAUGGAAUCCUAGGGAAACCGAGAAGAACUUUCGAAAAUUGUAGGAGCGAGUAAUGCGUCUAUUAUGUUUUUCAAUAAAGAUUUAUAAACACUACAAUUUAUUAUGGGUCUGGAGUCGACUUGAGGAUAGAGUUUAGAGGCAGACGAGAGGACUCUUAAACGGUGUACAGUAACUUCAUUGUGUUUGGACUUGAUUAUUUUGUGUUGAUAAGAACUUUACACCUAGAUGAAGUGAGAUUGGCGUUGAGUCUGAUGACGAAGAUGUGUAAUUGUUAAGGGAACUCCUCAACAGUGUACAGUAACUACCUUGUGUUCGGGCUGGAUUACUUUGUAUUGAUUAGAAUGUUGCACCUAUGUGAAUUAUAAGUAGCAACAGAGGUGUUCGUAGUAAUAUACUAAAGAUAAAAAAGAACUUCAAAAACCUAGUUUUCCAAAGCAGUUAUUUUUUUGGGGUCGAAGUUUAAGAAUUUGAAGAUUACGAAGGGGCAAAAAUGUACGUCUGGUAACCUAAUUCAUACGGUGAAACACAGCACAAGCGUUGUUUCACAUCAGUUUUCUGUUAGGCCAAAUCAUCCCUCCAGUUGGGCCCGCGCUUAGGUCGGUUUAGUCGGUUGUACAAUACUAUUCACAAUUUUAAGAAUAACUCAUCUGAUUGCUAAUCUAAUACAUAUAUUGUUAUUUUUUAAUAUCAGGGCGUAAGUACCUAUAUUCAUACAAAAUAUUACAUUGUAAUCGUUACGUACUUACACAUCUGUCUACCUGACCCCUGUAACGAUUCGGGUAAAAUUUGGUAAUUUGAUCGGUAACUUAAGACCCCAAAAAAAGGAUACAAGAAUACCUCAUCUGAUUACUAAUUUAAUACAAUUGUUGUAAUCUUUUCAUAACAGGAAGUAAGUACCUAUAUUCAUACAAAAUAUUACGUUGUAUUGCAUUUAUCAACCUUUUGAAGAGAUUUGAGGAUUGGGGAUUAGGAGAUUAAGGAGGGGGUGAAUUGGGUCUCCGAUAACCUAAUUCACACAGCAAAACUUAACACAAACGAUGUUUCACGUCAGUUUUCUGUUAAGCCAUAGUAUCCCUCCGGUCGCUUCUUGAAUAUUGUUCACAACUGUAAGAAUUAGUAAUCUAAUACAUGUAUUGUUAUUUUUUAAUAUCAGGAAGUAAGUAUCUAUAUUCAUACAAGAUCUUACGUUGUAAUCGUUACGUACUUACAUAUCUCUAACUACUGUAUUUUUUAAAUAUCAGUCUGUAAAAAAGGAAUGGAUGACGCGUCCCGUCCAAGUUACAUUUUAAACAGUAAUUUUAUUCAAUUUGAGCAUGAUAGUGUCUAUGUGAUAAAAGGCAUAUCAGUCUCAUUAAUAUGUUGUUUGUUCAUAAUUAUAACAAUAUUUUAUCUGAUUACUAAUGCAAUAUAAUAUUGUUCUUAUUUGAAACAUUAGAAACCCGUAAGUAUAUUUAUAAAUACAAAAUCUUACGAUGUAAUCGUUGCGUACCUAUAGACAUUUGUCUAAUCUGCUACCUCUGUCGCUCUUUUUUAAUAUCAGAUCGUAAAAGACAGACUUCUUCUUCUUCCAAAUCUUCUGUCUUAAUAGUGCUGGCAUCUUAUUUUCUUUGACUCUGAGCAUCCCAGACGAUCCCAGUUAAUUUUAUUACCCAUAUUAUGGUCCCCCCACUGCAGGGCAAAAGUGACUCUGGGAUUUCGGGGUCAAUCCUUCCCAUAGGCGUCAAGUUCAUCUCACUGUUGCCUUCCGGGCCUACCGCAGGCCGCGACAUCGGUUGACAUGGAUUCGAUGGAAAAAUAAAUCUUAGUCAGGGCUUAAAAUAAGCACCAGCAAUUUUAAACCGUUUAUUCGCUUUAAGCAUGUGUCUAUGUGAAAAAAGCAUUUCGUCUUAUUAUGUUGGUUGUUCAUAAAUGUAACAAUACUUUUUCUGAUUACUCAUGCAAUAUUUUGUUUUCAUUUCAAAACAUUAGGACGAAGUAAGUACCUAUAUUCAUACAAGAUCUUACUUUGUAAUCAUUACGUACCUACACAUCUGUCUAAUCUAAUACCGCUAUUGUUCUUUUUUAAUAAAAGACUUGAUGACACGUCCCGUACCAGCCACGCGCACGAUGACAACAGCCACGGCGGCGUUAUUUUCUUCUAAUCUUCGAAUCUUUUGUCUUACUAGUGCUGGUAUCUUAUUUUCUUUGACUCUGAGCAUUACAGACGAUCCCUGUUAUUUCUAUCAUUCAUAUUAUUGUCCUCCUAUUGCAGGGCAAAAGCAUCUCUACUCUCUUUCUACUCGUCUCUUCUUAUAGGUUUCAGAGCCAAUCUUUUUUAUAUGCGUCAAGUUCAUCUCGUCAUUGCCAUCCGGGCCAACCGCGGUGCAAGACAUCGAUUGACAUUGAAUUGGUGGAAAAAUAAAUUAAGUCUAAAAAUAGGCACUUACAAUAAACAUAUACUUUAAUUUUAAAUAGUUAAUUCGUUUUGAGCAUGUGGAUAUGUGAGAAAACGCAUUUCAGUCUCAUUACGUUCCUAUACCUAUACUUCUUCUGAUUACUAAUGCAAUAUAUUGUUAUUAUUUGAAAAAUUAGAACGUAAGUACCUAUGCUCUUGUAUUUAAUCUUAUGUUAUAAUCAUUUAAUAAACAUCUGUUUCCCUGACUACUAUAACGAUUCGGGUAAAAGUUGGUAAUAUGAUCGGUACGAACAACAUGACACUAAAAACCCUAAAUUCGCUAAAUACCAAAGGACACCAGAAACACCAGAAGAGUUUAAAUUGCGUCACCAGACUUUUUGGGGUAAAAAAUUGAGGAUUGGGGAUUUGAAGGUAGCGGGGGUAGAAUCGGGCCUCCGAUAACCUAAUUCACACGGGGAAUCACAACACAAGCAUUGUUACACGUCAAUUUUCUGUUAGGCCAUAGUAUCACUCCGGUUGAGCCGGGACUUAUGUCAGUUGUUCAAUACUGUUCACAACUGUAAGAAUACUUCAUCCUAUUGCAAAUCUAAUACAUAUAUUGUCCUUUUUUGAUAUCAGGCCGUAAGUACCUAUUUUCAUACAAAAUCAUUCGUAGUAACCGUUACGUACAUACAUAUCGGUCUAAUCUAAUACCUCUAUUAUUAUUUUUUAAUAUCGAGCCUAUAAAAAAAGGAAUGAAUGAGGCGUCCUGUACCAGCCACGUAAACACUGACAUCGCGCGUAUCAGCGUUAUUUUGGAAUUCCAAAGAGACCAGUUAUUUCUACAAUCCAUUUCAUGGUUCUCCCACUGCAAAGCAAAAGCAUUCCUACUCUCUUUCUACUCAUCACUUCCUACAGCUUUCGGGGCCAAUCCUUCUCAUAGACGUCAAAUUCAUCUCACCAUCGCCUUUUGAGCCUGCUGCGGGCCGCGACAUCGGUAGAUGUUGAGAGGGUGGAAAAAUAAAUGAGUUUAUAAGUUUAAUUCGCUUUGAGCGAUGUCUAUGUGAGAAAAGGCACUUCAGUUUCAUUAUGUUGUUUGUUCAUAAAUGUAACAAUACGUUACUUCAUCUGAUUACUAAUGCAAUAUAUUGUUCUUAUUUGAAACAUUAGAAAGUAAGUAUCUUUGCCCUUAAUCUUA